GAGUGAUGACAGUAGCAGAUCAAAAUGUUUCUCCAAAAGCAAAGUGUGCUUCAAAUUCAGAAUCAGAUAAUGCAGCUUGUGAGAUUUUACUUGCUGAGAAAACUUGCCCUUCAACCCCUGAAAAAACAAAGAAAAAAAAAACAAAUUCCAGUACUCCUGGUAAGAAAAACAGAGGCCUUUUAACAAGUACUCCAUCUUCAGAGACAGCUGGUUUUG
rnacentral:lncRNA from 1 species